rnacentral:rRNA from 1 species
CCAGAGAACUUAGCAGAGAUGCUUUGGUGCCUUCGGGAACUCUGAGACAGGUGCUGCAUGGCUGUCGUCAGCUCGUGUUGUGAAAUGUUGGGUUAAGUCCCGCAACGAGCGCAACCCUUAUCCUUUGUUGCCAGCGGUUCGGCCGGGAACUCAAAGGAGACUGCCGGUGAUAAACCGGAGGAAGGUGGGGAUGACGUCAAGUCAUCAUGGCCCUUACGGCCAGGGCUACACACGUGCUACAAUGGCGCAUACAAAGAGAAGCGACCUCGCGAGAGCAAGCGGACCUCAUAAAGUGCGUCGUAGUCCGGAUUGGAGUCUGCAGCUCGACUCCAUGAAGUCGGAAUCGCUAGUAAUCGUAGAUCAGAAUGCUACGGUGAAUACGUUCCCGGGCCUUGUACACACCGCCCGUCACACCAUGGGAGUGGGUUGCAAAAGAAGUAGGUAGCUUAACCUUCGGGAGGGCGCUUACCACUUUGUGAUUCAUGACUGGGGUGAAGUCGUAACAAGGUAAGCGUAGCGAG